rnacentral:lncRNA from 1 species
UAGCUUAAAACAAAUGCUCUUUUUUGGUUUGCAAGAAAACAACAGUUGGCAGAACUAGUUUGAGAAAAAUUUGAAUGAGAGCUCUCUUGGACGAAAGAAGAAGAUGGAAAGAAGAAAGAUUUUACCUUUAAUAUAAUUAAAAUUUGAAUCCUAUCUUUUAAGUUACUGCAUAAAGCAUUUAAUGGGCAAUAUAGUUUGCAACAUACUUACACUAUAUCC